UGUUUCAUCUCUCAUCCAAGAAGCUUCUUCAGUUCUAGGUUCAAAUGGCGGAGAGUCCCAGACUUAAGCCCGAUGGGAGAACAUCCCAGUGUACCUCAGACCCAGCAACACACCCAGAAAAAAACUGGUUCUUCCCAAAGACAGAACUCCUAAUCACAAACUUAAAAUCCUAGUGUAUACUUUAAUGUAAUGAGGAAUGCUCAGACCUCUAAAUUGGAGAGACCAAACAGCCACUUCAUAAACGCAUGGCACAAUGUAACGCAGUAAAGGAUCAGGGUGCCUGACUGCAGCUUGAUAAUAAGCUAGUCAGAAGUGCUUCGACUACGGAGCCUGAGUGUGCGGAUAAAAUACAAACAACAGAAGUAGAGCUCAAAUAUACAUGUAUUAUGUAUCUUAUGGUGAGAUGAAAUUUAUAAACAGAUAAACAAAAGAAAAAUAUAUAUACAUUGUAAAUAUCAACACUUCACCGAGUUCUUUUGAUUCCUCAGAGGCAUCCGAUGGAAGACAAAACACUGCUCAGUAGAACAUUCAAAACUUUAUUACUUCUAGAAGGGAGAUGCGUCCUGCAUGACACGUUGCCGCAGAUCUCAAAUUGGUGGUGUGCCCCUGACAGUUUUAUUACAGAAGCUCUCUCAUUCUAGUCUAAACAACAGUGUCUCAGUAACUUUCCACUAGAGACAGUCCCCUCUUGUCUAAUUUUCCCAGGCAAGCGUGAGCAAGAGCCUGCAGCUUUCUACUCCCCAAGGACACAUGGUCUAAUGCCUUUAUUUUUCAGGGCUGUGUCGACUUAAUACUACACUAUAUAACUUCAUAACACUUAUUAAUAAAUAAGCAUAGCAUUGUUGAGACACUGAAAAAUUAUUUAUUCCCAACAGCAUAUAUAUUAUAAAAAAACACAAUGAUAGUGAUAAUAAUAACACUAAUAAUACUAAUAAUAAUAAUAAUAAUAAUAAUAAUAAUAAUACAAAGCAACUAAUUUAGUCCCAAGAGGAAGUUGAACAAGAUUUAGUCAGUUCAGUUUAGUUGACCUGCAAUAAGCCGUGUUUCCAAACAGGUAGGAAGUUGAAGUCCAUUUAUCAGUUUAUAUAGAUUUAUCAGUCCUACCGCAAUACAGCGGUGGUCAGGUGGCUCGCCAUCCUGCGCUGAUCAGGGGUUUGAUAAUGGGGAAAAAACUCUGACUUAAUCAAGGUUAAAAACAUAAAUUAGCAUUCACAGUUAAAUUGGAACAGCGUUCUACUGCCAUUACAAUUGAAAAAUAAAUCCAUAAAUAGAAAAGUCAAAUAAUUAAUGUCAUAUUUUAUAUAACAGCCAAUAAACCAAUAACCAAAGACAUAACAUUUGAUUCUUAUAAUGAAUUUCAUUCAAAAAUAAUGUUAUAGAAAACCAUUUGCAUGGGUCCCAUCAAAGUAAAGUAAUUUAGCAAUAAGAGUAAUAAACAUUAUCCAAGGUUAAUCAAAUAUUUCCAACACACAUUUAAUUAUAUGUGUUGUGCAACACGUUCAAUAAUCUAAAAGGAAUUCAAAUCAAUUCAGAAGUCCCAAAAGCAUGGCAUUCACUUAGAAAAGUAACAAAAAACUUCCAAAAUGGACAAAACUACAAAAAUCAGAUCUCUCACUCAACUCUUCAAACAGUAAUUUAACAUUCAGCCAUAGUGAAAAACUGUCUGUCACCAACUGUCUGCCAUCUAUAAUUCAGUUUUGAGAUCCUUUCCCAGACACCUUAACACCUACGCACAUCCUGGGCCUUUUGACCUCUCAUAAUAGGACUAGGGUCUUAUGGGGCUAGAUUUCACAAUGAACUCACCUGAAACCUUGGCUGAUUGUGACCUACACCUGUUUUUACACCUUAGCUAUUGUGAUUAGGUAGAGGAUCAUUAGGGGGUCCAUGUCCCUUUUGGGGGGACACUCUUCUCGAUUGAGAGGUGAAAUGUCUUCAAGCAACUUAAAGAAGUUCAGACGCUCAUUAGACUUGAUGUUUGUUUCUAAAGAUGUUGUUGAUGAGACUUUGUAGAAAGCAGCUGGUCUGAGUGAUGUGAUCAGAGUGCAGUAGAUAAUGUCUGACAGCAGUUUGAAGAGGAAAUGGAUUCUGUUCUGUUCUUCACUCAUCACCUACCUGACAGCUGACACCUCACACCUGUUUCUCACCUGCAGGUCAGACAGGAGGAGACACAGAGGAUGGAGUCAUUAGAUAUAAAGUGAUAUAUUUUGUUUUGUUUCUUGUACCAGCUCUUGUGGCUGUUAUUUUGAUCUGUAAAAAAAAGAACAAAAAUAAUCCCCCACUUCCUACUCCUCUGACUGAUGAAGUAGGAAAUGAAGUUUACUGAACAAUCUCUGCGUUGAUAUUAGGGCUGCCACGAUUACGUCGACUAUCAAAAUCAUUGACAACUAAUUAAAUAGUCGACGCGUCGUUUGAAGCUUCGUAAGAUCCCAAAAGACGCAGGAAUAAGUAGUAGGAUUUAAGAGGGUAAUAACGGACUGAAACAGAAGAUGGCAGCACUGCAUGUACAAGGAUGCCAGCUGCCGUUAAACCCCGAAGAAGAAGAAGCUGUGUCCCAGAAUUCAUAGUGCGGCCCUGCUCAGUUUACAACAAUGGCGGCAGCUAGUUAGUUUUAAUAUUACUCUUAUUAUUCUUUCUGGGUCACAAAAUAAAUGUUUAACAUAUUUUCAGGCGAGAAUGUAGCUGUGUAAACCUCAAAUAUCUGCUCAGUUUAUCAAGACACCACAUAUUUUCAAAAGCACCCCGACGUCUUCUGUUACCCACCAGCUCGAUAGCUGGUGUUUGGGGUUCAAGGCUCACCAGAGCCGGUGAGAACACCGGACUCCCGACAAAUCAUUUUCAAACCUACCGCGGUCUUUCGCUACUCAGGUUAAUUUAUAAUUAAUCUUUACUAUAUUAUUAGACCAUUAUUUAUCCAUGUAAAAAUCUCAUUAAGAUUCAAAUCACAUUUCCUAGAGAGACCUAGCAAGAUGACAACAAAAGUAAAAACACAUACAGCAUAUAAUAACAUAACAAUAUCUAUAUCAAAUUGAUAUUACUAAAAUUUUUAAAUAGUGUUAUGUAAAAUCAAAAGUAUCUCUAAAACAUCAAACAUCGAUCAAACUCUGAUUCGAUGUACAAGGAUCUUUGAUAUAUCAAAUCUUGUGAUUUGACAUCAAUAGGGCAGCAUGGUGGCAUAGUGGUUAGCACUGUUGCCGCACAGCAAGAAAGUCCUGAGUUCAAUUCCACCAUCAGACCGGGGUCUUUCUGUGUGGAGUUUGCGUGGGUUCCCUCCAGGUACUCCGGCUUCCUCCCACCGUCCAAAGACAUGCAGCUUGUGGGGAUAGGUUAAUUGGAUAAUCCAAAUUGCCACUAGGUGUGAAUGGGAGUGUGAAUGGUUGUCUGUCCCUGUGUUUUAGCCCUGCGACAGAGUGGCGACCUGUCCACGGUGUACCCUGCCUCUCGCCCUAUGACAGCUGGGAUAGGCUCCAGCGCCCCCCGCGACCCUGAAAAGCAUAAGCGGAAGCGAAUGGAUGGAUGGAGAUCACUUGUCAUCGAUCAAACUCUGAUUCGAUGUACAAGUAUCUUUGAUAUAUCAAAUCUUGUGAUUUGACAUCAAUAGAUCACUUGUCAUCAAUCAAACUCUGAUUCGAUAUCCAAGUAUCUUUGAUAUAUCAAAUCUUGUGAUUUGACAUCAAUAGAUCACUUGACAUCGAUUACACUCUGAUUCGAUGUACAAGGAUUUUUGAUAUAUCAAAUCUUGUGAUUUGACAUCAAUAGAUCACUUGACAUCGAUCAAACUCUGAUUCGAGUACGAGGCAGCAGAGAGGACCUUGUAUGGGUUUACUACCACAUUCUAAAGGUCCUGGCAUUCUACUGAAGUAGGGAAGGCGUCAUUAGAUGAUGACUCCUAGUGAUGGUAAGAUGAAGCCUCGUGAGGAACUGAAGGUUUCCAUCCAACUGGUCGACUCAUGGUUCAAAGCAUUGUGAUGAUUCAUUUGCUCUACUGCGCCAUCAAGUGGACGAUUCAAGUGAAACAGGCUCUUUGAUUGUAAUGAUGUGAUGUGUAAACCUCUAAACUGAAUAAAUAAAUUGUUUUCAUGGUUAUUUAUUACGAAUAUUGUCUCAGCAUGUCUGAUACAAAAGAGAAAGUGGAAACUAUCAGGACAGAGCUUUGGUAUGAUUGUGUAACUGUGUAAUCAUGCUUAUGUACAUCUGGAUAAUCACACAAACUGUGUGGCGCUUCACUUUUUAAUAAACCAGUGAUUCUUGAGAUAAGGGACAAAACAUGUCCAGCAGAUAAAACCCAAUUUUGUGGUUAAAAAUAUGCAUACAAGUGUUAACCCAACUGCCUAAAAGACAAACCAAGGCAAUGUUUAUACUACAAAACUAUGAUUUUUUAUAAAUAUAUAUUUAUUUUAAAUGGUACAAUACAUUACCAGUACCUUAAAAAUCCAUUGUCCUGAAGCAGGUGUGAUAAUAUUAAAAUACAGAAAAAAAAUUAAAAGUAAUGUAAAAUUAAACAUCAUGGCUCUCGUCACUAAGUAUUAAAGUCAAUACCUUAUAUCAAAAUAUGCAAUUGAAAAUUUAUUUUUACAUAUUUUUUAAGUGAUUAAAAUCGUGCGUCAAGUCGAUGUAAUCCAAGAUUUGAUUAUUUUUUCUUGUAAAAACAGCCUCAUUUAGGUAGAUUGUUGAGGCCAUAAGCAAAUGAUGAAAAACAAGAUGGCUUCUGUCAGAAAAACAUGUGUUAUGAGAGAAAGUAUGGUAUUUUGUCAACACCAUCAGAUGUCUGAUACAAAAGAAAGUGGAAACUAUCAGGACAACGUUUUGGCAUGCUUAUUUACAUCUGGAUAAUGACACAAACUAGUGUGUGGUGCUUCAGUUUUUAAUAAACUAAAAGACAGAAAUCAGAUUAUAGGAUCUGUGGUGUUUAUUUAUAUUAUGGUUCUUAUCAUUUGUGAUAUUUAUUACUCUGUGCAUACUUUAUUAGGAGAGAUGAGAUAUUAAAAAAAAGCUCUUCCUUGCUGGUUACAUUGAAGAAGAAGCUCAACUAUGUAGCACGUACGUAAUCAACUUCAACAACACAAUGUGAUGGGGAAAUCAGCUGUGUUUUUCUGCCCAUUUGAUUUCGAAUCUGGCACACACCAGAAAACCAGUUCCUGAAUCAGUCACGUGAUACGGACUGCCCGCGAGGCCUCGAGCGUCACUGCAUACGUAAUCAAAGUGUGCCUCGAUACGUGCUUCACAAAAACAACCUGAGAUUACCCGACACACGCUUUGGAGCUUCGACACACACGACACAUCGUUAGGCUUCAGUGAUCAAUUACUGUAAUAAUUAUCAUGUCAUGCAUGAUAAUUAUUACAGCAAAGCCUAAAAAGCAUCAAAUGUCUGAACUCAUGUCAGGUUUAAAUUGACUGACCCUGAUUUGUUGCACUGCUCAGCAGUGACAUCACAACUUAAUUGAAAUGCCACUGAGGUUAUUUUGCGUUUGACAUUCAACAAAACACCAGUGAAAACAGAAAACCACCAGAAUGUGGAGAACACAGACGUCAUGGGUUUGGUUGAGUUACAGACUGAUGAGUGGAGAAAGUAGGAAACAGCUUAUUCUUCUAUAUCUUACACAGAGUGCUGUAAAUCUGUUAAUACCACCAGUGACACAAAGUAAAGUUGUACAUGUACUUGAGUACUUAUAGAGUAUAAUUCAUACUGUAUGUUUGAAUCGUAUUGAUGUAUUUUUUUUUUGGUAGUUUUCUAUUUCUGCUCUACUGUAUUUUGAAUUCAAACAUUGUACUCCCUGACAUUUAUUUAAUUACUAUGUCAUGCUACAUUAUUAUAGAUAAAGUUACUCAGCAGUAUGUAAGCUGUUCUAACCAUCUAAAGCUGCAACAUUAAAAUAAAACCGACAUAAAUCAA
ensembl:lncRNA